GUGGGGAAUCUUGCGCAAUGGGCGAAAGCCUGACGCAGCCAUGCCGCGUGAAUGAUGAAGGUCUUAGGAUUGUAAAAUUCUUUCACCGGGGACGAUAAUGACGGUACCCGGAGAAGAAGCCCCGGCUAACUUCGUGCCAGCAGCCGCGGUAAUACGAAGGGGGCUAGCGUUGCUCGGAAUUACUGGGCGUAAAGGGCGCGUAGGCGGACAGUUUAGUCAGAGGUGAAAGCCCAGGGCUCAACCUUGGAAGUGCCUUUGAGACUGGCUGUCUUGAGUACGGGAGAGGUGAGUGGAACUCCGAGUGUAGAGGUGAAAUUCGUAGAUAUUCGGAAGAACACCAGUGGCGAAGGCGACUCACUGGCCCGUUACUGACGCUGAGGCGCGAAAGCGUGGGGAGCAAACAGGAUUAGAAACCCCGGUAGUCC
rnacentral:rRNA from 1 species